rnacentral:rRNA from 1 species
GCAAUACUUAGUGGCAGACGGGUGAGUAACAUGUAGGUAUCUGCCCUUUGGCCUGGAAUAACACGAGGAAACUUGUGCUAAUACCGGAUAAGUCUUUACGGAGAAAGCUUUAUGCACCAUUGGAUGAGCCUGCACUUGAUUAGUUUGUUGGUAGGGUAAUGGCCUACCAAGACUUUGAUCAAUAGCUGAUUUGAGAGGAUGAUCAGCCACAUUGGGACUGAGACACGGCCCAAACUCCUACGGGAGGCAGCAGUGGGGAAUCUUGCACAAUGGAGGAAACUCUGAUGCAGCGAUGCCGCGUGAGUGAAGAAGGCCCUUGGGUUGUAAAGCUCUUUCGUCGGGGAAGAAAAUGACUGUACCCGAAUAAGAAGGUCCGGCUAACUUCGUGCCAGCAGCCGCGGUAAUACGAAGGGACCUAGCGUAGUUCGGAAUUACUGGGCUUAAAGAGUUCGUAGGUGGUUGAAAAAGUUGGUGGUGAAAUCCCAGAGCUUAACUCUGGAACUGCCAUCAAAACUUUUCAGCUAGAGUAUGAUAGAGGAAAGCAGAAUUUCUAGUGUAGAGGUGAAAUUCGUAGAUAUUAGAAAGAAUACCAAUUGCGAAGGCAGCUUUCUGGAUCAUUACUGACACUGAGGAACGAAAGCAUGGGUAG